UGGACCUCAGAUCAGGCAAGAUCACCCGCUGAGUUUAAGCAUAUCACUAAGCGGAGGA
rnacentral:rRNA from 3 species